GAUGAACGCUGGCGGCGUGCCUAAUACAUGCAAGUCGAGCGAACAGACGAGGAGCUUGCUCCUCUGACGUUAGCGGCGGACGGGUGAGUAACACGUGGAUAACCUACCUAUAAGACUGGGAUAACUUCGGGAAACCGGAGCUAAUACCGGAUAAUAUAUUGAACCGCAUGGUUCAAUAGUGAAAGACGGUUUUGCUGUCACUUAUAGAUGGAUCCGCGCCGCAUUAGCUAGUUGGUAAGGUAACGGCUUACCAAGGCAACGAUGCGUAGCCGACCUGAGAGGCGGAGGGGCGAAAAGGUAACUAAGGCAGAGAAGGGAAGACAAAGGGGGGAAGUAGGCGGGGAGUGGGUGCAGAGGGUGAAAGAAUGAUAGAUCAAUGAAACGAGAGAGAAAAAGGGGGGCAGAUAGUAAAAAUCUGGUAGUAGGGAAGAAAAAAAAGGAACGGGGAUAUGGAGGUCGGGGCGGUAGGGAAAAAGAAAGGAAAGGCUAGCUUCAUG
rnacentral:rRNA from 1 species